GACGAACGCUGGCGGCGUGCCUAAUACAUGCAAGUCGAACGAGUUGCGAACGGGUGAGUAACGCGUGGGAACCUGCCGCAUAACGGGGGCUAACUAUUGGACACGAUAGCUAAUACCGCAUUCUUUUGGAUGGACCUGUGUUGUAUUAGCAAGUUGGUGAGGUAAAGGAUCACCAAGGGGUCGAUACAUAGCCGACCUGAGAGGGUGACCAGCCACACUGGAACUGAGACACGGCCCAGACUCCGACGGGAGUCAGCAGUGGGGAAUAUUGCACAAUGGGCGAAAGCCUGAUGCAGCCAUGCCGCGUGUAUGAAGAAGGCCUUCGGGUUGUAAAGUACUUUCAGCGAGGAGGCGUUACUCGCAGAAGAAGCACCGGCUAACUCCGUGCCAGCCGCCGCGGUAAUAC
rnacentral:rRNA from 1 species